rnacentral:rRNA from 1 species
AGAGUUUGAUCAUGGCUCAGGACGAACGCUGGCGGCGUGCUUAACACAUGCAAGUCGAACGGAAAGGCCCCUUCGGGGGUACUCGAGUGGCGAACGGGUGAGUAACACGUGGGUGAUCUGCCCUGCACUUUGGGAUAAGCCUGGGAAACUGGGUCUAAUACCGAAUAGGACCGCAUGCUCCAUGGUGUGUGGUGGAAAGCUUUUGCAGUGUGGGAUGGGCCCGCGGCCUAUCAGCUUGUUGGUGGGGUAAUGGCCUACCAAGGCGACGACGGGUAGCCGGCCUGAGAGGGUGUCCGGCCACACUGGGACUGAGAUACGGCCCAGACUCCUACGGGAGGCAGCAGUGGGGAAUAUUGCACAAUGGGCGCAAGCCUGAUGCAGCGACGCCGCGUGGGGGAUGACGGCCUUCGGGUUGUAAACCUCUUUCAGUAUCGGCGAAGCUCCAGGAUUUUUCUUGGGGUGACGGUAGGUACAGAAGAAGCACCGGCCAACUACGUGCCAGCAGCCGCGGUAAUACGUAGGGUGCGAGCGUUGUUCGGAAUUACUGGGCGUAAAGAGCUCGUAGGUGGUUUGUCACGUUGUCUGUGAAAACUCACAGCUUAACUGUGGGCGUGCGGGCGAUACGGGCAGACUGGAGUACUGUAGGGGAGACUGGAAUUCCUGGUGUAGCGGUGGAAUGCGCAGAUAUCAGGAGGAACACCGGUGGCGAAGGCGGGUCUCCGGGCAGUAACUGACGCUGAGGAGCGAAAGCGUGGGGAGCGAACAGGAUUAGAUACCCUGGUAGUCCAA